AGCCUCUUCCUUAAAACCUCGGACUCCGUCUCGGCAUCCUUGACCGCCUGCUGCUCGUUGGCCAACUGAAUCUUCAGCCGUUGUAGUUUGGCCUUCUCCUACCCAAGGGCCAUGGACAGUUCUUCCAUGGUCCCCCUCAAGGAGCGGAGCUCAUCAGAGCUUUGUAUCGAGAUGGCCUGGACUCUCUCAGACAAUUGCCUCUGAAGGCGAGCAACCUCGUCGGUCGCCAUCUUGAACUUCCUUUGGUAGUCAUCUACUUGUCCACACCAGUCGACUCGGUAGG
rnacentral:lncRNA from 1 species